ACAACUUUCAACAACGGAUCUCUUGGCUCUCGCAUCGAUGAAGAACGCAGCGAAAUGCGAUAAGUAAUGUGAAUUGCAGAUUUUCAGUGAAUCAUCGAAUCUUUGAACGCACCUUGCGCCCCUUGGUAUUCCGAGGGGCAUGCCUGUUUGAGUGUCA
rnacentral:rRNA from 1 species